CUGAUUAGCUAGUUGGUGGGGUAAAGGCCUACCAAGGCGACGAUCAGUAGCCGGCCUGAGAGGGUGAACGGCCACACUGGGACUGAGACACGGCCCAGACUCCUACGGGAGGCAGCAGUGGGGAAUCUUCCGCAAUGGACGAAAGUCUGACGGAGCAACGCCGCGUGUAUGAUGAAGGUCUUCGGAUUGUAAAGUACUGUCUUUGGGGAAGAAUGACUGGCUUGAAAAUAUUGAGUGAGUAUGACGGUACCCAAGGAGGAA
rnacentral:rRNA from 1 species